rnacentral:rRNA from 1 species
UGGGGAAUUUUGGACAAUGGGGGAAACCCUGAUCCAGCAAUGCCGCGUGUGCGAAGAAGGCCUUCGGGUUGUAAAGCACUCUUGUCAGGGAAGAAAUCCUUUGGGCUAAUACCCUAGGGGGAUGACGGUACCUGAAGAAUAAGCACCGGCUAACUACGUGCCAGCAGCCGCGGUAAUACGUAGGGUGCAAGCGUUAAUCGGAAUUACUGGGCGUAAAGCGUGCGCAGGCGGUUGUGUAAGACAGGUGUGAAAUCCCCGGGCUUAACCUGGGAAUUGCAUUUGUGACUGCACGACUAGAGUGUGUCAGAGGGGGGUGGAAUUCCACGUGUAGCAGUGAAAUGCGUAGAUAUGUGGAGGAACACCAAUGGCGAAGGCAGCCCCCUGGGAUAACACUGACGCUCAUGCACGAAAGCGUGGGGAGCAAACA